CCCGCUGAACUUAAGCAUAUCAAUAAGCGGAGGAAAAGAAACUAACAAGGAUUCCCCUAGUAACUGCGAGUGAAGCGGGAAAAGCUCAAAUUUAAAAUCUGGCGGCUUCAGCUGUCCGAAUUGUAAUCUAGAGAAGUGUUAUCUGCGCUGGACCAUGUACAAGUCUUCUGGAACGGAGCGUCGCAGAGGGUGAUAAUCCCGUAUCUGACAUGGACUACCAGUGCUUUGUGAUGCGCUCUCGAAGAGUCGAGUUGUUUGGGAAUGCAGCUCUAAAUGGGUGGUAAAUUCCAUCUAAAGCUAAAUAUUGGCGAGAGACCGAUAGCGAACAAGUACCGUGAGGGAAAGAUGAAAAGAACUUUGGAAAGAGAGUUAAACAGUACGUGAAAUUGUUGAAAGGGAAACGCUUGAAGUCAGUCACAUUGGUCAGAGAUCAAUCUUGCUAUUUAGCUUGAUGUAUUUUCUGAUUUAAUGGGUCAGCAUCAAUUUUGACCAGUGGAAAAAGGUUGAAAGAAUGUGACAUCUUUUAGAUGUGUUAUAGAUUUCAAUUGCAUACAUUGGUUAAGAUUGAGGAAUUCAGCAUGCCGCAAGGCCGGAUUUCGAUUACGAUCAUGCUUAGGAUGCUGGCGUAAUGGCUUUAAUCGACCCGUCUUGAAACACGG
rnacentral:rRNA from 1 species